UACAGAGGGGGCAAGCGUUGUUCGGAAUUACUGGGCGUAAAGGGCGCGUAGGCGGCCUGCUAAGUCGAACGUGAAAUCCCUGGGCUCAACCCAGGAACUGCGUCCGAUACUGGUUGGCUUGAAUCCGGGAGAGGGAUGUGGAAUUCCAGGUGUAGCGGUGAAAUGCGUAGAUAUCGGAAGGAACAUCAGUGGCGAAAGCGACUUCCUGGACCAAUACUGACGCUCAUGUGCGAAAGCGUGGGGAGCAAACAGG
rnacentral:rRNA from 1 species